CUCGGGGGAGGGUGUCCCUCAGCCCAGAUUGUGAGAGGGUGCAAACCAGGCCAAGGGACCCCACCAGUGCAUU
rfam:Myotis davidii contig35397, whole genome shotgun sequence.